rnacentral:rRNA from 1 species
UGAGGAAUAUUGCCCAAUGGAGGAAAUUCUGAGGCAGCGACGCCGCGUGGGUGAAGAAGGUCUUCGGAUCGUAAAGCCCUUUUCUGCGUGACGAGGAAGGACGGUAGCGCAGGAAAAAGUCUCGGCUAACUACGUGUCAGCAGCCGCGGUAAAACGUAGGAGGCAAGCGUUAUCCGGAGUUACUGGGCGUAAAGCGCGCGCAGGCGGAUGGAUAAGUGGGUUGUGAAAGCGCUCGGCUAAACCGGGCGAGGACAAAUCAGACUGUUCAUCUAGAGGCGGAUAGAGGAGCGUGGAAUUCCGGGUGUAGCGGUGAAAUGUGUAGAGAUCCGGAGGAACACCAGUGGUGCAAACGACGCUCUGGGUCCGAACUGACGCUGAGGCGCGAAAGCGUGGGGAGCGAACG